rnacentral:rRNA from 1 species
CUACGGGGCGCAGCAGUCAGGAAUACUUUACAAUGCACGCAAGUGUGAUAAGGGGAUUCCAAGUGCUUUGCCUCUGGUAAAGCUUUUGUUGAGUGUAAGUAUCUCGACGAAUAAGUGGUGGGUAAUACCGGGGCCAGUCGCCGCGGUAAUACCGGAGCCACAAGUGGUGACCCCAUUUAUUGGGUCUAAAGCGUCCGUAGCCGGCUUGAUAAGUUUCUUGUGAAAUUGUUGGGCUUAACUUAACAACGUGCAAGAAAUACUAUUAGGCUUGAGACCGGGAGAAGAUAAGGGUAUUUCAGGGGGAGCGGUAAAAUGUUAUAAUCCCUGAAGGACCACCGAUGGCGAAGGCACUUAUCUAGAACGGGUCUGACGGUGAGGGACGAAGGCUAGGAGAACGAUAAGGAUUAGAUACCCUUGUAGUC